CCAACACGAUCAUUUGCUAACAAAACUAGAAUAAAAAAACGUGAGCUCUCUCUCCUUUCCACGCCACAUAUCCCUUCCAAAGAUCCUUGGCUCCUUGAAUUUGUAUUUUUAAGAAAAACGAGCAGCAGUGAUGCAAUUCUAGAAAAAACGCCGAACUCCUCUACGUGCCAGAUAAGCCUCCUUACAUCAGCUCCAGCCAAAAUGUGAUUCCCCUUAAGUUACCUACAAAUCAGGAUCUCUCGAUAAAGGAGCUAAUCUUUUAGGUGAAAAAGCUACAACUUCAAACAGUAGGGUUGGAUCGGAGGAAGAGAGGUCUGACAGGGUCUUGACCGGGUCCGAACUCCCAAAGCUCUAUGUUGUUGGGGAACUCUGCAAGGAUCUUACCACCUUCUUGAUUUACAAUAUAAAUAGUGGCAGAGUUAGAAGUUUUGUUCACUGGAAUCAACAUUAAACAUGGGGUCAAUUGCAUCUAAAUUAGCCAAUUUUUAUUUUUUAUACUUACAAACUUAACAUAUAAACUAAAAGUAUAUAAAAUCAUAGUUGUCAACUGACCCUUCCGUCGUAAGUACCUGUGCACUGUCUAUAAAUAAAAAGGUUAAAAAAUAGAUUUUUAAAAUUUAUACUAUUUAGUCAAUAAUUUUAAAAGAAAAUUUUAACGAAUAAAACUUUUAUAUGUUUGAUAAAUAUUUUACAAGAAACUUGAUAAAAAUAAGUGAAAACUUACUAUUGCAAUAUUGCAUCAUCCAAUAUAAUUCCAAUAAAAGUUUUUAGAUGUAAUAAUAGUUGGACAGGGCUUUUUGAUAAGGUCUCGGUUUCUGUGUCUCAAAUAUAUAAUUGGCCAAAUAGGUUAAAACAUAUUUGGAUCGGGGUCCAGUAUUUGUUUAGGUUUUAGUCUUUCACAUGUAAUCCGGAUUUUGGUUCAAUUUCAGCUUGGACCCAAAAACGGCUCAUAAAACCGGUUUUGCUCGGCAUCAUCUAUAUUCUCUAGAAGCAAAGAUCAGCUGGUAAUACAUUUUGAUUCGUUUGGUAUUUUACUAUUUUUGAACCAACUCCAUGUGAUUAUUUAAUAAGUCUUACGAACAGAAACAGAUUUAAAACAUACAAUGGGAACUAAACAGAACGUUAUUAGAUAUAGAAACAUAAAGCA